CUCUCUUUUUACCUCAGCCUCUACACACAGUUUUACCAUAACCAGUCAUUUCUGGUCAUGAAUCUUUUUCCUGUCACAUCUUCUGUGUAACUGUCACUGAAAAGUGGUGACAGAUUACACCGGAAGUGUAGGCUUACUGCUUUUAGAGAACAGAAACUCGGAACUAUCAGUCCCCUAAGAGGAGUGGCUGCGAGCUCCGUUAUAUUAGAAAGAUGCUAUUUUUGAUCCCCAGCAGAUUUCUGCAGACAUGGAGCUUCUACCACUUCUGUUUAUGUGCUUCUGUUUCAUGACUCUGUCCAGACUGACGUUUGGUGAUCAAUCCGGGAAACCUGUGAUUGUGAAAGAAGGUGAUUAUGCCAUUUUACCCUGUUCCCUCGGCACCAAUGAGAACAUUGAGUUUAUGCGGUUUGAGUGGAAGAAGGAAGGAACUGAAGAGGAGGUGUAUAUCUAUGAUAAUGGUGUGGGUUAUAGUCCUGCCCUCCCAGGUCGAGUCUCUCAUUUUCGAGAUGAUCUGAAGCACGGCAACGCCUCCAUAAGAAUAAAUAAUGUUCAACUGGAGGACAAAGGAAACUACACCUGUAACUUUCCAAACAGAGGAAAAACAUUCAGGAUUAAGCUUGUUGUUGAGCCCAUAUUAAAGGUCCGAAACGUCUCAGGAGCAGCAGAGCUUUAUGUCACAAGUCAUGAUCAAAUAAAUGGCGGGGUGCUGCUUCAGUGUGAUGUUAAGAAUGCUCAUCCCAAACCCACAGUGGAGUGGCAGGACAGUAACAAUGAAAUCAUUCCUUCUGAGGAGCCACAGGUCUCUAAACAAGGAGAUCGCUUCUACAUCACCCUCAAAGCUACUGUGAAAAAAAGUGGCCGCUAUCGCUGUGUCGCGAAACAGGAGGAAAUCAAUCAUCAGGCACAAAAGGAAAUCUAUGUAUAUAUUUAUGGGAAACCUGUGAUUGUGAAAGAAGGUGAUGAUGCCAUUUUACCCUGUUCCCUCGACACCAACAUUGAGUUUGUUAUGUUUGAGUGGACGAAGGAAGGAACUGAAAAGAAGGUGUUUACCUAUAAUACUGGGGUGAAUUAUAGUCCUGCCCUCCCCGGUCGAGUCUCAUAUUUUCAAAAUGAUCUGAAGAACGGCAACGCCUCCAUAAGAGUAAAUAAUGUUCAGCUGGAGGACAAAGGAAUCUACACCUGUAACUUUCCAAGCAGAGGAAAAACAUUCAGGAUUGAGCUUGUUGUUGAGCUCAUAUUAAAGGACCGAAACGUCCCAGGAGCAGCAGAGCCAGAGAUCACAAGUCAUGAUAAAGGAAAUGGCGGGGUGCUGCUUCAGUGUGAUGUUAAGAAUGCUCGUCCCAAACCCACAGUGGAGUGGUGGGACAGUAACAAUGAAAUCAUUCCUUCUGAGGAGCCACAGGUCUCUACACAAGGAGAUCGCUUCAACAUCACCCUCAAAGCUACUGUGAAAAAAAGUGGCCGCUAUCGCUGUGUCGCGAAACAGGAGGAAAUCAAUCAUCAGGCACAAAAGGAAAUCCAUGUAUAUAUUUAUGAGAAGAGUGACUCUGCAACCCAAGGGUUUCCUGUAUGGGCUGCCAUACUCAUCGGUGUUCUUGUUGUUGUUAUUGUUGUUGGUGUUGUGCUUAAGGUUAAAGGCUACUGUUUGAAGAAAGGUAGGCCUCCGCACAGAGAGUCCUUUCACCUAUGACCCAUCUAAAGACAUUAUUCAUAGUUGAAACCUGUUUUUGUUUUUUUGUCUUUGAUUCAGCUGAGAGUUGAAUCACAACAGGACAUGUUGGCUCUUUUUUUGUUGUGCGACUUUUCUCUGGUUUCUAAUGAAAAAACAUUUUGAGUUAACUCUGUUCAUCUUGGCUCUGGACGCUCCCUCAGAGAGAGGACGUGUCAAGAAUUUUGACUCAAAGGUUAAAAUAAUGUAAAUUUUUACUCUCCAACAUCACAGAGUACUUCAGAGUCAAACCUGAACAUCACCCAAACUGUCACAGUCCAACCUUCACUCUCCAUCACAUUCAUGGUUUAAAAUUACACGACUGUUUCUUCUACCUGCAUCUUUCACAUCCUCACCAAGUUUGAAAGGUUCACACUGUUCUGUGUAUAUAUUUCAUUAUCAUUAUUCAUCAUAUUUAGAUGUCGGACUGUUGUUGUCCUCAUAUAAGGAAAUAUGAUCUAUAAUUAAUAACGUACUUCCAUCCUUUUUAUUUUUACUUUUAACUUUUAUUUCCUCCAAAGUUAAAGAGUUUCUGUGUUGUUGAAAAUAAAAUAGAAAAAAAUACAAUUUUAAAACAGUCACAUUUCCACCAUUUCAACUUUAAUUUGAUCAUUUACUCAUCUCAGUGUUUCCUCUCCUGCUGCAGUUUCAUGGCUCCUCCUAACUCCUUUCCCAUUUUCAGUGCAGCUUUAUAAAUAAUUCACUAAACAAAGUUUCUCUGAGGUUCAUGUUUUUCAUGAGGACAGUGAUGGUUUGUUUUCAUCAUAACAGAUUAAAAUAAUUGGAACUCCAAAAAACUGUCCCCUUUGAAGACGAUACAGUUUAUUAUCUGGAUCAGUAAAAAGAAAAAUAAUGAGACAAGCAAAUUUAAAAAUGGCCCAAAGUAAAACCUUAACUCUAAAUUUAGGACUUAAAGUAUCAAGUUUCUAUUAUGUUUCAUAUUCAGUCAAAAGCUGUCAUGCAAAUGAUAAAUGACAAAUGAUAUGAGAAACGUUUCAGCUCAUAUUUAACUCAGUCUAGUUGAACAUGUGCACUCAUGUUUUACUGUAAAUUAAUAUUUAGCAGAUAGAAAAAAUGAUGAUUUUCAUUUUGAGAAUAUUUUUACUUACGCUUAAACUCUAAUAUAAUAUGUUGUUUUUGGUUAGUUGAUUUUUUUCUCAAAUUGUAUUUUUGCUGUUAACUGUUUUAUUCAUGGCAUUUGACAGAAAGCUUAAGAGCACACAAACCUGAAUAAAAAACUGUGUGUGUGUGUGUUUGUGUGUGCGUGUUUCGCUAAAUGUUUAUAAAGUGAGAAGAUGUUUUUCAUGGUUUUUAGUCAAAUUCCAGAAUGAUUCUUAUUUUGCAGCAGCUGUGCUUUGAUAAAAGAUGUUUAGCUACAGAUUGAAUGUCAGUGCAAAGCUAAAGUGUUGCUCAGUAUUAGCAGGAAGCUGUUGCACUUCAGUGUUUUUAUCCUGAACUGGCCGAGGAAAUCAAUGGGUGUUAGUCUCUAAUGUGUGAAAUUAAUAUCAAACAUUAGAUUGAAUGAAAAGUGCAAACAUGACUGUUUGUUCAAUCUCAGGGACUUUGGUCAUUUUUAUUAAUAUUUUGGCUGUAACUAGUUUAACAUCAGUAUAAAUGUGAGGUAGAAGGAGCCGUCAGUCAGGAAACAACACUGUGCUGUAGAAACAUGCAUGAAACUUUUUUUUUCACAUAAUUUUUUCACUGUGCAUUUGUUGGUUCAAAUAUAAAGUAAAAUAAACAGGUGAUCAGAGGAUCAGUGGAUUUGUUAAA